rnacentral:rRNA from 1 species
AUUGAACGCUGGCGGCAUGCUUUACACAUGCAAGUCGAACGGCAGCGCGGGCUUCGGCCUGGCGGCGAGUAGCGAACGGGUGAGUAAUACAUCGGAACGUGCCCAGUAGUGGGGGAUAGCUCGGCGAAAGCCGGAUUAAUACCGCAUACGACCUGAGGGUGAAAGCGGGGGAUCUUCGGACCUCGCGCUAUUGGAGCGGCCGAUGGCAGAUUAGCUAGUUGGUGGGGUAAAGGCCUACCAAGGCGACGAUCUGUAGCUGGUCUGAGAGGACGACCAGCCACACUGGGACUGAGACACGGCCCAGACUCCUACGGGAGGCAGCAGUGGGGAAUUUUGGACAAUGGGCGAAAGCCUGAUCCAGCAAUGCCGCGUGUGUGAUGAAGGCCUUCGGAUUGUAAAGCACUUUUGGCGGGAACGAAAAGGACUGUGCCAAUACCACGGUUCGAUGACGGUACCCGCAGAAUAAGCACCGGCUAACUACGUG